rnacentral:rRNA from 1 species
GUGGCGAACCUGAUAGUACAGCAAAGCUUCGGCGGCGCUGAUAAUGUCUGUAAUCAAACCUCCGAGAAAAUCCUCUAAGGUGUGGCUAAAGCGGCCCGUACCGUAAACCGACACAGGUAGUCGAGAUGAGUAUUCUAAGGCGCUCGGGUGAGCCGUGGAGAAGGAACUAGGCAAAUUGACGCUGUAACUUCGGGAUAAAGCGUGCCAUCUUCGGAUGGCCACAGUAAAAUGGUUCAACCAACUGUUUAACAAAAACACAGGGCCCUGCAAAAUCGUAAGAUGACGUAUAGAGCCUGAUACCUGCCCGGUGCUGGAAGGUUAAGGAAGGGUGUUCGCCGCAAGGCAAAGCUCCUGACUGAAGCCCCAGUAAACGGCGGCCGUAACUAUAACGGUCCUAAGGUAGCGAAAUUCCUUGUCGGGUAAGUUCCGACCUGCACGAAUGGUCUAAUGAGUUGAACGCUGUCUCCUCCACGAGCCCGGUGAAAUUGUAGUAUCGGUGAAGAUGCCGGUUACCCGUCACGGGACGGAAAGACCCCAUGAACCUUCACUACAACUUUGCAUUGAUUUUGAGUAAACGAUGUGUAGCAUAGUUGGGACGCUAUGAAGCAGUGGCGCUAGCCAUUGUGGAGCGGUCGUUGAAAUACCAACCUUCGUUUACUUAGAGUCUAAUCCCUAACGGGAGACAUUGCAAGGUGGGUAGUUUGACUGGGGUGGUCGCCUCCUAAAAAGUAACGGAGGCUUGCAAAGGUACCCUCAGUACGGUUGGUAAUCGUACGUAGAGCGCAUUAGUAAAAGGGUGCUUGACUGUGAGGCAAACAAGCCGAGCAGGGUCGAAAGACGGCUAAAGUGAUCCGGUGGUUCUGUAUGGAAGGGCCAUCGCUCGAAGGAUAAAAGGUACUCUGGGAUAACAGGCUGAUCUCCCCCAAGAGCUCAUAUCGACGGGGAGGUUUGGCACCUCGAUGUCGGUUCGUCACAUCCUGGGGCUGGAGAAGGUCCCAAGGGUUCGGCUGUUCGCCGAUUAAAGUGGCACGUGAACUGGGUUCAGAACGUCGCAAGACAGUUCGGUCCCUAUCUGUGAUGGGCGUUAGAAAAUUGAGUGGACAUGACCUUAGUACGAGAGGACCGGGUCGUACGUACCGCUGGUGUAUCUGUUGUGCCGCCAGGUGCAGUGCAGAGUAGCUAUGUACGGACAGGAUAAACGCUGAAAGCAUCUAAGCGUGAAACCUUCCACGAGAUGAGUUUUCUUUUAAGGGUCGUCAAAGACUAUGACGUUGAUAGGCUACAGGUGUAAGGGUGGUAACAUCAAAGCCGAGUAGUACUAAUUGCCCGUACGCUUUAAUUC